rnacentral:lncRNA from 1 species
AUGUGCGUAUAUAAACAUAACUGCCUUUUUCUCUUACAGAAUCCUGAUUACAUUAUAAAUAUGCUGGUUUAUACACCAACCAACUGUCUUUAUCUUUCAUCAGAUUACACUACCACAUUUAAAUGUGAAAGACCCUCCCUCACACACACACACACACACACACACACACAUCUAAUGGCAGCCCCACCCUUGAUGAAAUCACUAUCCAACUGCCCCCUCUGGUGUUCACAUUGCUUCCAAGCAUCCUCACACUGUAAAAAAAAAAUUUAUUUAAUAGCAAGUUCCACAGAAAAUUACAUUCAAUCAAUUUCUGUCUUCAAAGUGUUGCCUGAAUUGCUAUUUUUUAGUUGGCUCAACCUUUACUGAAAUAGUGUUAUAGUCCAUUCAGCUGAUAUUAUUUAAUUGGUCAAACAUUUAGAAAACUACAGUAAAUUGUGUCAAUUAAAAUGUAACCAUUGAUAAUUAACAAAGGUUUAGAUGUUGAUAUUUAUAUCAUUUGAAAUCACUAUUGUGGUCGGCAGUGUUUGCUUUAGUUGGGAUCUUGGUCGUACUUCUUGUGUUAGCUAUCUUUGAUUGCUGUAAAAGUGUGCUUGUAAAGCACAGUUGUUGUGGCAAAGAAAGCAGAAAUUGAGGGUUAACAUUUUUCUGUUAAUGAUGAAAAAUCUUCACAAAAUGAGCGUCCAAUAUUGUGGUUUAACUUUGUGUUUAUAUUUAUGGAUAAAAAGCAUGUACACAAAACAUUUUAUGUAAUCUUUAGUCACACGCAGACAUCAAGAUUUUGCAUAUAAAUCAUAACAACGGUGACAAUCAAAACAAAAAAGCUUGAUAAUUAAGAAUGAGUUUGUACUAUGAAGCCACCCAUCAUGCAACAUGAGCUUUUUUGUUUGUUUUGAUUGUCACCAUUGUUGUGAUUCAUGUGCACAAUAUUGAUGUCUGUAUGUGACUACAUGAUGCAUUUACUCAAAAUAUUUCAUAUGCAUGCAUUUUGUCCAUCUUCAGAAUAAGUGAUCAUUUCAAUGCUCUUGGUGCCUGUGCUGCAGCUUCACACGAUUGGUGGCUAUAAAUGGCAAAUAUAAAACAAAACUAAAAACACAACAUCAGAUGCUUAUUUUGUGAUAAUCUUGUCAUCAUCAACAAAGGAGCUUAUAAUACCUGAACAUGCUUUAUUUUGGCCUCCUUUGCUGCAACAAUUGUGUUUCACAAACACACAGUUACAGCAGCAAAAGAAAAGCUAACACAAUAAAUAUAAGUACCAAGAUCCCAAUUAAAGCAAACACUGUCCACCACAAUGGUGAUUUCAAAUGAAACAAAUAUCAUCAUCUACACCCCUGUUAAUUCUCAAUAAGAUCUUCUGUAGACGUCUGACAGAAAGUCAGUCUGGUUAUUAAUAAGUGAAGCUUGUAAUGCUGUUUGUGGAGUUGUUUAAUCCUCCUCUGCUGAGAUCUUCAGAGAUUUAAUGUAUUUUAUCUUCAGCUGAAUUCUUCUAAGCCUGUGGCUGCAGUCAGUUGUAGUUCUUGAAUUUCUGUUUGGCUCUUUUGUUGUUGUUGUUGUUCUCUUCUUUACUUCAGUGAUUUUGCUUGUUAACAAGCUUAGACAAGCUGAGAGGACUCUAUAAAUAAUAUAUGAAGAUUUUGU